rnacentral:rRNA from 1 species
UGGGGAAUAUUGCACAAUGGAGGGAACUCUGAUGCAGCGACGCCGCGUGAACGAAGAAGGCUUUCGAGUCGUAAAGUUCUUUUAUAUGGGAAGAUAAUGACGGUACCAUAAGAAAAAGCCCCGGCUAACUACGUGCCAGCAGCCGCGGUAAUACGUAGGGGGCUAGCGUUGUCCGGAAUCACUGGGCGUAAAGGGUUCGCAGGCGGAAAUGCAAGUCAGGUGUAAAAGGCAGUAGCUUAACUACUGUAAGCAUUUGAAACUGCAUAUCUUGAGAGGAGUAGAGGUAAGUGGAAUUUUUAGUGUAGCGGUGAAGUGCGUAGAUAUUAAAAAGAAUACCGGUGGCGAAGGCGACUUACUGGGCUCAUUCUGACGCUGAGGAACGAAAGCGUGGGUAGCAAACAGG